UGUGUAGAGAAUGGACUGAAGGUGGUGACAGAGUGACAGACUGGAAACUUGGAGACCAACUGGGAGCUGCUGCAGGAAUGGAGAUGAGGGGAACCACACUCUGCUUGCCGGGGGAUCCAGUCGGGAAGGGAGAAAAGGCUGACCCGUGAGAGGCGAGAAUCAGAGGAGCGUCUCUGACCGCUCAGAGAUCACUCAGGAAGUCACAGAGAAGCAGAGAGACUGCCGAGGCAGUGAAGCUCUAUAGUGAAACCUACACAGGCGUCCUGAAGCUCUGAAGACCACUGAGAGAUGAGCAAUGAUGGAAUUUUCAAUAGAAAGAAACUUCGCCCCAUGGUUUUUCGGCAUUUAUUUUAGAAAUUAAAAGCAUCACCAGGAGAUAAAGAAGAAACAUGACCAUCCUGACUGAUCAGAGACUCUCCAGAGGGACCGGUCACUGCCACACGGCUCGGCCUCCCACCCCGGGGAAGCAGUCGCGCUCUUGCACCAGAGAGUCAGCAGCCACCCAGGUGAGUAAGAACAGCCCACGCUGUGGUAGAUCAUAGCUGGACCUUCUCCGUGGCAGGACCCCCCUGCUCCUGAGAGAAGCCCCUGCCUUUCGCAGCAGAGUCUGGGUAACGCCGGCUCUCCCUCAGCCCCUUUCAGGGUCAGGAUGGAGGUGACACUGGCUCGGGGCACCUGGUUCUCCCACA